AUCACCAAGAGUGAGAUCAUGACCUGAGCCAAAGUCAGAUGCUUAACUGACUGAGCCAUCCAGGUGCCCCUGUAAUUUCAUAAUUUAAAUACUAGGGGAAAUGUUGUAAAAUGUGUUCUAGUUAUUUAAGUAAAUGGAAGUAGUUUUGUGUGGUUUUACAGUCAUGGGGGGAGAUAAUGACAUUUUGGACUAGGGAAGUAAUGGGAUAGAGAUGAGGAGGAAUCUAUAAUGACUGCCUGGUUCCUCACUUGGUUGUAGAGUACAACAGUGGUAUAAUUAACCAGCAUAGAGGCAAAUGGAGGAAGGCUGGGGAUUUUGGUUUAUGUGUAUGUGUGUAUAAGGGCGUGGAAUAGAAAACUGGGAAAGGGGAAGGAGGUAAGACGUUCAGUGAAGACAUAUUUAAUAUGGAAGACUGUCACUGGGAUAUCCAUAUAGAGAAGUUCAGUAGGGAGCUCAGCAUGUGCAUCUGAAGCUUAAGAGAAAGGCUGGGGCUAGAAGUGGAGUCACUAAGAAGUGACCACUCAGAAGUGGAUGUUGAAAUUUGGGAGGAACUGGAUGCCAUUCCUCAUAGAGACUGAAUAUAGUGAGAGGAAAUGAGAACUAACAUUAUUAGGUGGGCAGAGUAAGAGAAGGCAGCAAAAAAAAUAUAUUAAGAAUAACUAGCAGAAGGAUGGAAGGGGACACCAACGGAGCUCAAUGUUCUAGAAGCCAAUGGGAGAGAGGAUUCAGGAAAAAAGGAGUUAUGAUUAUCAGAAUAUAAAGACAGGUCAAGUAAAUUGAAACAGAUCAUGGGAUUUGGCAAUUUUGUCAUUAGUAACGUUUGCUAGUAUGCUUUCAAUACAUUCAUUGAUGGUGGCAGAAUUCUGUGUUGGGUUGAAAAUUAUUUUAAAUUGAGAAAAAUUACAGCAGAUUUAUACUAUUUCAAGGCUCUUCAUUUCUUCUUGAAAACAGAAAUAAAGGAUCAUUGUAGGGAGUAGUUUAUAGAAUUGAGGAGGAGAUUUUACAGUGAAGAGAGUUUAAUAUUUAUAAAAUGUGGGGAGAGUCAGCAGACAGAAGAGAUUAGAAAGAAGGAGGAAUAAAGGUAAAGAAAGAUCUAUAGGAGAUUAGGGAAUGUGGGAUCAGGUGUGCAGUAAAGGAGUUGACCUGGAAGAAAAGGAUACUUCCUCUGAGAUUAGAAGGAAGGAGGUGAAGACAAUUAAAUGUAUAACUUAUAAAUGUGGAGCAAGAAGGUUAGGAGGUAUGUAGCUUAUAGUUUUGAUUUUUUUUUUUCUGGUAAAGGAGACAUAAAAGAUAAGGGCAUAGGGGAAGUAGCAAGUUGGAGUUGAAAUAAGGUGGCAUAAAAUAUAUGUCCUAAGGAAUGGGAGAGGGAAUUAGCCAGGGGCAAGGUUAUUAGCAGGAGAGACUGAUGUAUCUGGGAAACUAAGCUAGAUAGGAAAAGAUAUGAAGCUAUGCUGGAGACAGUGGUCUGAAAAAAAGAAAAGGGAACGGUUGAGGAACAGAGGUUAAAAUAAGGUAAGAAAGCAAGUGUUUAGAGAGGAAGGGAGUGAAAAAAUUGGAAUGAUAGGUGGUGUGGUCACAGAUCAAGAAUAUUGGAGUCUAAGGUUGUGGAACAAUUUCUUGAUGAUCAGAAGGUUGAAGGUGUGGCUCUGGGUAUGGAUCACUGAAUGAAAUGGUUGUAAGCUGGUGGAGUCAGAAUUUAAGGUUGUUGUUGGAUAGGUUGUCCAUAUGGACACUGAACUGGCACAUGAUGGCAGGAAAUGCAGGGGAGACAGAUACUGAAAGCCAAGUGCCAAAGUCCACUAUAAAUAAGAGAGAGUGACUGGGCAAUAAAGUAAUGGGAAUGAAACAGAGGAAUAAAAAGUUUCCAAGAUUGUUCAUUAUAGCCUUUUUCUCUCUCACAAAUUAAGAGUCAUGAGGGCAAGGACUAUGUCUUACAUAAUAUUGCAAAUAUUUGUUGAUUAAUGGAUAAACAAAUGAUGACCUCAUCAUUUUGAACAAAUAUUCAUGUUGAAUUAGUAUUUUUGGAAACUUUGGGUUUUUCUUAUUACAAGCAGUUGAUACUAAAGAAUAUACAACAAGAUGAGCAAGAUGUAGAAAAAAAAUUAAUAAUCCAAAGCCAGAAAUAACCACUGUUAGCCCCUUUUAUUAAAUUUUCAUACCUGUUUGUUGUUUAUCCUGGCAAUAAAUAUUCAGCUAUAAUAUCCUUUAAUGGCUAAGUAAGUAUUCCACAUAAAAUAAGGAUAUACCAUAAUUUAAGUAGUAUCUUAUUUGGGGAUAUUAUAUGUGUUUUUUUCUCUGUUUUUAAAAGGGACAAUCUAACAGUUAAAUUUUUGCUUUAUUUCCUUAGGAUGCAGUCUUAGAAGUGGAUUUUCUGGUAGGGUCUUCAUAGCCAGCUUAUUUUUCUUUGUUUUAGGCCUAUUUCUAACAGACUUGUUAUGUGUAUUCUUAUUCAAUUCUGGAUUGGAUUCAGAAAAUUGGACAGUGUUGCAGGUACUGAAUGACGUGUUGCAGGUACUGAAUGACGUGUAGGCAUGCUGAUAUCCACAAAAGUAAGAACUGACUACACUUCAAGAAUGUUAAAGAAAGUCAUUCAGACAGAAUGGAAAUGAUACCGGAUGGAAAUACAGAUCUACACAGAGGAAUGAUGAGCACUGGAAAAGAAUGUAUCUUACAGGAGGAAGAUCUUUUUUCAGUUGACUCCAGUGCCUAGCAAAUGUUUGAUACACAAAAGAUGUUUAAUAAGAAUUUGGAUUGGUUCCUGGAAGUAGAACUACUAUAUCAAAGAUUUGGACAUUUUUAAGACCCCAGAAAGGUAAUAUAGUAAUAAAUGCGACUGUAAAUUUUAACACAUUCUUAGCUACACUAGUUAUUAACACUUGAAUUUUCAAUCUUUGUCAGUCUGAUAAUAGGGAGACUCAUUGUGUAAUUUGAUAAAAUUGCAUUUUUGCUCAUAUACUCAUAUUAAUAACCUAACUACCUCAAGGACUUAAUAUUCUUUGUCUUUUCCAUGAUGCUUACUCAGCUGGUGAAGAAAUGUAUUUUUUAUUGACUUUGGCAGUAUUUCUUUUAAAAUAAAUUAUAUUUUGAACACAUAGAAAGGUGAAGAAAAAUAGCAUAAGGAAGGAUCCAGAUUUAUUUUACUUAGUAAAAAAAGGUAAGAUUGUAUUUAAUUAUUAAUGUAGUGGUAAAUAGAACAUUAUUACUAGAAGCUAGCAAUAUCAUAUUUUAUUUAUUGAAUUUAUUUCUUUAUUGAAAUCAUACUGAAUUUAUUGCUUAAUGUGCCAUUUUCACUAUAGCACUUUCCAAAAUGCUUACUAAAUGCUUAGCUUAUAAGAUUAAGAAAAACAUUCACUAGAUAACUACUUUGAAAUAAUUGCCCCAACCCUGCUUUCAUUCACGAUGCCUAGAAACAGACUUGCCUACUUUAAUUUUCUUUCAUGUUGUUAUUACUAUGAAGUCAUUUUAUAGAUAGGGUAAUAAGCAUUCUGGCAUAAAGAAAAAUAGCAUCUGUACUACGAUAUGGCACAGUUUGGUUGGGGCUGUUCCUCCUUCAGAACUUCAUUACAUAAUUUGAAAGUGUUUACUUAAGCUCCUUUGGGCUGCCUCCAUGGUAGCUAUGAAGUCACAGAAUUAGGACCAGUUUGGGGCCAGAUAACAACGUCUGUUAGUUUAAUGUGAACACUGUGUCAAUUUUUUUUUUUUUUUUAUCAUUGCUGUAUAAGAAACUUUAAAAACAAAGAUAUACUUAAUUCAUUUCAUUUUUUAAAACAAGUAUGCUUCUUCAAAAAUCAUUAAUACACAAAACAAGGGAUUCAUAAAUGUAUGUUUGCUCAUUGUCUAGAUGUAUUUAUUUUAAAAUCUGUAUUCCAUACCAUGAAUUCACAGUAUGAUUUUGACUCAGUAUAAUUAUAAAUAAUUAUGCAAAAUUACCAAAAUGUGUAGAGGUAUUAGACAGCCUUUAGGAGAGUAUGAAUUAUUAAAAUUCUAUUUCUACACCAAGACCACUAUUUCUAUCUCUAAGUCAUAAAAGAAAUCUAAGAGAACAUCAUAGAUGUAUAAAUUAUAAUAAUAUCAGCUUUAGGAGAAUUUAAAAAGAUACCAGGUUAUAAGAAAAAAUUAUUUUCUCUUGAUUACUCAAAGAAAGGUAAUAUUUUCAGUUCCUGAGAGGGAGAACUCUUGCUCCUUGGCCAACCAGAUAACUAGGUGUAUUGGUUUUAAAGAAUAAUAUUGCAAUAUGCAUUGUAAACAUGGAAGAAGAAUCAUUUAAAUUUUGUAUUGUAAUAAUCAAAUGGUAUAUCACCUUCAAGGCAACGUGAAAAUUUUUUAUAAAAUACCUAAAAUCUCAACCAUCCCUUUAGAAUUACUGAGUUUUAUGAAUAAACAAGCCUAAGUCAAGAUCCUGUUAUCUAAAAGCAUAUAGACCUCUUAAAGAAAUGUCAUUUUGUUUUAAUUAUGUAACAUGAAUUUAUUAUAAAAUUACUUGUUGGAAUAAUCUCCGUAGCAUUUUGCUUUUUAACUAACUUUGAGAAGUUAAACUGAUGGCCUUGCCAAUGAUCUAGUGAGGUACAAAGUCAGGGAUAAUUCAGGGAAGAAACAGAAAAAACCUUUAGGACCUGAUCAUCACUCUGGAGGUAUAGCCACUCUAAGGGUCCUAUGUGGAUUGGGAGAGAGGGGUUUCUGUGUAUAGGUGGCCUGAUCUGGAGGGGGAGGAUGGUCAAGGGGGAGAAGAGGGAAAGAUUAUGAGACAAACUGCCUACUCAGAUUGGUUUAGGUUUAGCUUUGCUGUAACAAUGAAAUGUGGGUUUUUUUUAUUUGUUUAUUUAUUUUGAGAGAGAGAGAGCGAGUGCAUGUGCAUAUGGUAUGAUCAGGGAAGGGGCAGAGAGAGAGAGAGAAGCAGAGAUGGAAUCCCAGGCAGGUUCUGCAUUCUGAGCCUGGAGCCCAACAUGGGGCUCCAUCUCAUGAAGCAUGAGAUGAUGAUCUGAGUUGAAAUCAAGUCAGACACUUAACCCACUGAGCCACGCAGGUGCCCCUGAAACGUUUGGGUUUUUAUAUGUCAUUCUCAUAUCAAAAGAGGAUGAUUGUUUGGUUUCUUAUGUUUAAAUAUUUUUAAUAUACGAUACAUUGUUUAUAAAUCUGUUUAUUGGAAGUUAAUAUGUGUGGUGAUUUUAAACUAAAUAUUGCCAAUUCUUUGACACGCCUUCAUUAAAGGAUCAGAGUCUAAUUCCCCUGUCUAGAAUAUGGAUGGCCUUAGUGAUUUUUUUGCUAACAAACAUAAUGUGAUAGAUAUAAUGCUGCAUGACUAGUUAGGUCAUACAGCUUCAUCUGGCUCUCUGUCUUAGGACACUUGGAACCCAGGAACCCUGUUGUGAGAAAGCCAAAAACAGAAGGACAGGCCAUUGUGUAGGUGUUCUGACCUGAUAAUCCCAGCUAAGGUCCCAGUCAUCAGUGAGUACUAAUCACUAGACAUGCAAAUGAACAAAUCUUCAGAUGAUACAAACCUCUAGCCUAUGAGCUGCUCAAGAUGAGGCCAGGUGCAUUAGAAACAAUCUAUCCCUGCAGAGCACUACCCAGAUCACAUGUUCAUGAGAAUGCUGUUUUAAACCACUAAGUUUUGGGGUGGUUUGUUAAGCAUUUGAAUCCCUGUUUCUAGGGACUAGCUCUAGCUCAGGUUAGCUGUAACAAGUAGGAAGGAAAUGGAGGAAGCAAAAGAAAAUGUCCUCCCCCUCCCCCCCCCCCCCCACUUUUCCUCGUUUCCUUAGAUUGAAAAUCUUAGCACCUCCUAGUACUAAUUGUUGGCAAUUAAGUAUAGUUUUGAAGUGCCAUUAGGAACAAAAAACAUGAUAAUGGGGACCUGGUCUAUCUAUCUAAACUCUUCCUUGAAGGCUUAGUGUCUGAGCAGGAAAAAGAGAAAGCUUGAGUCUAUUUCUCCUUUUCUUCUCCCCUAAGUAUACCUAGUUUCAAAAAGGAGGGGAAAGCAAGAUUUAAUCAUUUCUUGCCCUCAUCUCUCUUCUGAAUUCAAAUCUUUUAAAGGUGAUUUUUUUUCCCCCCACUAAAUGACUACACAGACACUUCAAUCUUAUGAAGGGACCAAACCUACAACAUAUUUGCAUUCCUUAUCAAGGAAGCAGGAUUUACUGACCAAAGUGAUACACUAAGGACACCACUCUGUCUUCAGUCACUCAUCACUGUCCUUGAAAGGUUCCUCAGGCUCCUCCUUCUAAAUGUGGACACUCCCUAGGGUUCUCUUUUCAGACCUCUUCUCACUUGACACACUUUCUGGUCCGUCUUACACAUUCCCAUAACUUUAGUUACCACCUACAUUUUAAUGACUCUAGAGAGCCAGACUUUACUGCCAACCCUGAUGGGAUAGUUCCCUGAUAGCUGCAAUUCUACACGGACAAAACAGGGUUCCUCCUCCUGAACCUGAGGUCCACUCCUCCUCCUAGUCUACACACAAGAGCAGAAACCUGGGGAUCCCCUGUCUUUGCCCCACACAACCAGUUUUCCAUUCCACCAAUUCAUUACUUUUCUCGAAUCCCUCUUCUCUCUAGCCCCACUGUCAUUAGGUACACAGCAGUGGUCCCAAUCCAUUCUGACUCCCAUCACAGGCUGCUUUACAUUCCAUCUUCAAGUUCCAGCACCCCAACCAAUGUAAUCUUUUCACACCUGACCACGCACUCCCAUUAAAAUAUCCUAUCUUUGUUCUCCCUUUCCUAUAGGUAUUAAUCUUGAGACCCCAUAGUCCUUUACUCACAAACCCCUUGACAAUGUAUACAAAAUUGUAGUAUAGGUCUAUAGGUACGUUUUUAUGGAGAGAGGCCAUAUGCCUUUCCAUAGGUUCUCAAAAGGAUAUGUGUCUGCAAAAAGGUUAAAAACUUGAAGGUCUCAGGCUAAAGUCUGAACUCCUGGUCUUUGUUCAGCUUCCUUUCUCAUGCCGUCUUCCUUCGCCUCUUGUCCCAUGCUUCUCCCUCUAUAGUUCCAGGCCUUUGUACAUGCUGCUUCACUUGCUCACCUUGGGAAGCCCUUUCCUUUCGUAGCUGGCCUAACUUUUGCCAUCCAUGAAACCACCUUCUUUCUUUUGAGAAACAUCUCAGGUCACACUACCUACAGAAAACUGUGCAGGGAGGGCUAGCCCAGCUGGGAGUCAACUGUUGGCUCCCUGAAGCCAGCCUAGCAAUUACUCUUUUUUAGCAUUUACCCCCUGGAUUUCCAAACCGGAAAGAUGGUGGUGGGAGUGGGGAGGGGGGGGUGGUGAGGGGAGAGGGAGAAAAAAAAAUAAAACCUAUAAAGCCUGUAAAACAAGCAAUGACUGAUAAUUGUUUCUGCAGCACUUAUACACUGUAGAAGAAUGCCAGGCUGUAAUAUACAUUUUUAUAGUACUUUCUGGGGAGGAAGAAAUUGGGUGGCAAAUAUGUAAUUUAUAUUUGCCAGCAGUUUUGGUGAUAAAUACCACACACACUUUCCUGUUCCAGAAUAUUGUACAGGAAUUUUCAACAUCAUCCAGUUUUCCUUUAUUUUAUACCUACACACCUCAUGGUGUUACUUAUUUAAUAAAUCCUUUAACAAUGCA